rnacentral:rRNA from 1 species
AACUCUGAUGCAGCGAUGCCGCGUGAGUGAAGAAGGCCCUUGGGUUGUAAAGCUCUUUCGUCGGGGAAGAAAAUGACUGUACCCGAAUAAGAAGGUCCGGCUAACUUCGUGCCAGCAGCCGCGGUAAUACGAAGGGACCUAGCGUAGUUCGGAAUUACUGGGCUUAAAGAGUUCGUAGGUGGUUGAAAAAGUUAGUGGUGAAAUCCCAGAGCUUAACUCUGGAACUGCCAUUAAAACUUUUCAGCUAGAGUAUGAUAGAGGAAAGCAGAAUUUCUAGUGUAGAGGUGAAAUUCGUAGAUAUUAGAAAGAGUACCAAUUGCGAAGGCAGCUUUCUGGAUCAUUACUGACACUGAGGAACGAAAGCAUGGGUAGCGAAGAGGAUUAGAUACCCUCGUAGUCCAUGCCGUAAACGAUGUGUGUUAGACGUUGGAAAUUUAUUUUCAGUGUCGCAGGGAAACCGAUAAACACACCGCCUGGGGAGUACGACCGCAAGGUUAAAACUCAAAUGAAUUGACGGGGACCCGCACAAGUAGUGGAGCAUGUGGUUUAAUUCGAAGAUACGCGCAGAACCUUACCAACACUUGACAUGUUCGUCGCGACUCUAAGAGAUUAGAGUUUUCGGUUCGGCCGGACGAAACACAGGUGCUGCAUGGCUGUCGUCAGCUCGUGUCGUGAGAUGUUGGGUUAAGUCCCGCAACGAGCGCAACCCUCACUUUUAGUUGCCAUCAUUAAGUUGGGCACUCUGAAAGAACUGCCAGUGAUAAGCUGGAGGAAGGUGGGGAUGACGUCAAGUCCUCAUGGCCCUUACGUGUUGGGCUACACACGUGCUACAAUGGUAUCUACAACAGGAAGCAAGACUGCGAAGUUAAGCAAAUCCCUAAAAGAUACCU